UCCAGCUCCAUGGAGUCCCCCUGGAUCAGAAAAAGAACAGCAAACAAAGGCUCAUUUCAGAACACAAACCUUUUUACAUCUCAUUAACAAUCAGCAAAAGCUACACCUCUAAAUGAAGAUAUUUCUCCUGGCUACCACUUUCUUGUAAUGCGACCGACAACAGAAGAAGGUGCACAACUAGAUGACCUAAGUUUUUGUUUUCACACAGCUAAUCAGCCUGAAGCAGCUUGUCAAACUUGACAUAUUUAUGGAACGUGCUGCUCAUCACAGAAACGGUGGGUGUCUAAGGUCAGUGAGCACAAGCAGCUGCUGUGCACGAGGUUACUCUACUCAGUGUUCCAUCUUCCAGCCAAGACUGAACUUGCAGCAAGGUAUGCUAUUUAUACAAAUUAAAGCUUAGCAGGACAAAGGGGCUAAUAGCAUCGUACACAUAGAAAAUACCAUAUAAUCUUUAAUGACUAGGCACGUCCAAGACUUCUAUUAAACAUAUCUCACUUAAUAGCAGUAAAUGUGUAUUUUAAGUACUGCUUAAGGAGCAUCAUCCAAGAAGGCCUGCUAGAUUAAGAGUACUGCAAUUUAUAAAGCAGUUUAUAGAGAUGAGCAAUGCUUUCUGAAUGACUCGAGAAAAAGAAAACUGGACAUCCAACAUGGCUGAAAGUUCCCAGGCUACACUCAUAUUGCAUCUCCUAACGCUGUGUUCACCUUUAGGAUCAGUCCUGGUAACAGUCCAGUUGGGCCUAGAAUUACAGCAAACAUUCUAUUUACAAAAAAGCUUCGGCACCCUCAGGUUAGCUGCCACCAUCUGGCCUGAAGAGGAAGGAAAUUCUUAAAACUUUGUUCCACCAAACUCAUUCAACUUCUCAGGUCCUGCAGGUUACAAUGCCAGCACAGUUUCAUGUUAAGUGACAGUAUCCGUCCCGGCAGACACUUAGCUCAUGGAAGAUGCUGACUAAUUUUAUGCUGAAUAACAACUAGAAGGAAAUAACCUUUCAUCUAGGUUAGAAAACCACAGAUGACUGAUCCCCCUCAACCAAGUAAUCCCUUAAGUAAACAGAUACCUCACUGCUUCAGCCUUACACAUAGGCUGCUCACAGGUAAAAACAGGCAUCCUAGCCACAUUUUUCUGCUUUGUGUCUCUCUCUUCCUGCAAAAUCCAUUUUCAUAUUAUUGCCUUUAUUUAUAAGCCUUUGUUUCCACUUUCUGCUAACAGAAAUGUCAGACAGAUAUUCAAAGGAGAACUGCCACACGUGGCUCUUUUGACUAAAGCCUUAUUCUUUCUCACAAAGUUAUGAGGCAGAGAAGAAUACCAGGCUUAUCCAACAGUUUAAGUGACCCCCUGUCCAGUCAGUGUCGCCACUGCAAUGCAUGAACAUACUAAUGUCCACAGCCAAUUAGCAUCCAUGAGCCCUAAGUUAGGGCGGUAACUAUUAGGGGCAAUUCAUAACUUGUUGUCCAUCCUUACUGCCUUGUAUCACAUCUUUUGUUUUCCUUUCAUUUGUCCUUGAGCAGCAGUCCUGUUUUUGGUCCAUUAGCUGGGUAUCAUCAGCAGAAGGCCUUUGCUGGCUUAAAAGGCAUUUUGUUUAGACUUAUGCGGGGAAGAAGAACUGUUUCCCACAAACAUCUAAGCACUGUGACCUAUACACUUGAAGGAGAAGGACACGUCAACAUAAGCUGGUGGCUCCCUAUUUGCAUGAUGCAAUGAACUGCAAGAGCCCUCCCCUUCAUGCCUUGGUACAGCCCCGGGAAACCACAGCUGCUGCCUGCCCACUCCUGCAACCCGGGCACACAACAGGUGCUCACUAACACCUGUGAGCACAGCACAUUUCAUACGCGGGGAAUUUAUCACGUAUGUCUGUUUGACACAAAUGGGAAAGGAGCAGGAGCACCUGACAUGUACCAGGCACUAUUACUGCUGCUGGGGAAAGCAUACACAGGCUGCUUCCAUCACCUCCCCUCCUCUGGGACUUCGCUCUGAGCCGUGACUGCUACAACUUAAAGUCAUCAUGCUUUCCUUUCAAACAGAUAUUUACCAAUGCAAAAGAAUUACUCGUGGUCUCUAUCCCAGAGUGAAAUUAAAGAGAGCAGAGGGAAGAAAUAAGAAGGGCUGUGGCUGUAAGGAAAGGGCUGUGGACAGCUCUAAUUCUAGCUCUAUAUUCCUAGCUAUCUGACCAUGCCCCUUGGACCAGGCUCCCUCUCCCUACCACUCUUCCAGAACUUCUUUGUCAAUAAAGGACCCAAAUCCAA